UACGUAGGGGGCUAGCGUUGUCCGGAAUCAUUGGGCGUAAAGAGCGCGUAGGCGGCUAGAUAAGUCCGGUGUGAAAGUCACAGGCUCAACCUGUGAAUGCCGCUGGAAACUGUCUGGCUAGAGUCCGGAAGGGGCGAGUGGAAUUCCUGGUGUAGCGGUGAAAUGCGCAGAUAUCGGGAAGAACACCCGUGGCGAAGGCGGCUCACUGGCCCGGUACUGACGCUGAGGUGCGAAAGCGUGGGGAGCAAACAGG
rnacentral:rRNA from 1 species